GCUAAACUCCUCCCCAGUUACCUAGCAACAGUGAAGACCAUAAAAGGGGCUCUUAGACCCCCACUCUCUUACUCUUACUCCUUUGUUCCUUUACCUCUCACUUCUCUCUCCUCUUCCCUUUCUCUUUGUCUUCUCCUCUCCUCUCUACUUCUCUCUCUCUCUAGCCUUUCCUCUCCCCCAGUUCUCUAUUCCCCCCUGCAUUUCUCUAAUAAAGCUCUUAAACCAUAGACAGCCUCUGCUCCAUCAAGACCAGCUGCACACUCUGAGUAUACAAAAUUCUAAAUAUAAAGCGAGAAAGGAAAGUGCCAGCUGAGUACCAGAAUUUAUCUCCUUUUCCUUUCUUACUCAAGAUGCUCAAUGUGAUCCAUAGCUUCAGCCUCCAACCACCAUCCCUUCCCCACUGGGAUGGAUUGUCCCUCCUUAUGAAUGAAUUCUUUCUAAGCAGCGUUUUUGUGGCAGUGAUGUAAAACAGAUAAGAUUCCAUCGUGGCCAGAGAAGCAUGCCAGCAAUUGGAAGACAUGGUGGCAGGAGCAGGAACCUGAAAGAUCUAAGCCACAAUCACAAGGCAGGGAAGAUGUUGAGUUUCCAGUUCUGCUGUGUGUGUACCAUCCCACUCCUCAUCAUGAAUGGCUUUACCAUCACAUUUCACAUUUAUCCUGUCAAGGAACUGCUGGACCACAUGAAGAGGCUGGAUUUGUGGAACGAAAGCAACAGGACCCCCGCGGCUGAGGCAAUAGCAGGAUAUCAGUGAGGAGCCCUGGUGAGGGUCUAGUGUUGAUGGUGUAGCAGAAACCAGAGACCUUGAAUCACAUCAACGAAAAUGCAGUGAACAUUUGCAAAUAAAGCUGUUUUGGCAAAAUGUUA
rnacentral:lncRNA from 1 species